GAUGAACGCUGGCGGCGUGCCUAAUACAUGCAAGUCGAGCGAACAGAUGAGGAGCUUGCUCCUCUGACGUUAGCGGCGGACGGGUGAGUAACACGUGGAUAACCUACCUAUAAGACUGGGAUAACUUCGGGAAACCGGAGCUAAUACCGGAUAAUAUAUUGAACCGCAUGGUUCAAUAGUGAAAGACGGUUUUGCUGUCACUUAUAGAUGGAUCCGCGCCGCAUUAGCUAGUUGGUAAGGUAACGGCUUACCAAGGCGACGAUGCGUAGCCGACCUGAGAGGGUGAUCGGCCACACUGGGACUGAGACACGGUCCAGACUCCUACGGGAGGCAGCAGUAGGGAAUCUUCCGCAAUGGGCGAAAGCCUGACGGAGCAACGCCGCGUGAGUGAUGAAGGUCUUCGGAUCGUAAAACUCUGUUAUUAGGGAAGAACAAAUGUGUAAGUAACUAUGCACGUCUUGACGGUACCUAAUCAGAAAGCCACGGCUAACUACGUG
rnacentral:rRNA from 1 species